GGGCACCUAAGGGGGCCUAUACCUUGGGCGGCAUUGCCGUCCUCACAUAUUGGUUGAACUCUGUUCGACCGAGCUAAACGGAAGACAGAAA
rnacentral:ncRNA from 1 species